GAUGCGUCUACCCUGUGCUCUUGUGACUCUCUCUCCUUCCAUUUGUCAUCUUUCUCAUUAAAGAAGAGCUUACUUGUUAGCUGCUUUGCCAACUCCAAGAUUUAUAGGAGCUGAAGAGAGUAUUUCAGGCAGGGAAGAGAAGGACUGCACUGACCACAAACUCCCGGAACUCUUCAAGAAGUAAAUGUAUUAAAGGGCCUACAAUCCUGGAGAUACUCCUGACCUUUCCUGCUCGUUCCUGUGACACAUGACUGGUGACUGUUGAUCUUCUGGUCAGAGGUCAUAAGUCUACUAGACAUUUUCUGAUUGCUGGUGGCUGGAAGAGACGUACUGUGGGACCUUCCAAAGUUGAGAUGGGUUGCAAGGAAGACAGAAAAUGAAGAAAAAAACCACAUUCUUCGAAUCACAGUCUUUGUCCCAAAGGCAGCACACGCCUCUGACACCCCCGUCCACUCCUCCUGCCAGCUUCGCUCUAGAGAGAAAGCUGUGAAGAUAGAAUUGACCAGACUCCAGCUAUUUUAUGCAUACAGUAGUUUGGUCCCUUAAAAUUUGAAUUAUGGACCACAUUGCUUUCUCCUGGAAAAUCUCUCAGAAGGGGAAAAGGUAUUCCAAUGACAACAUGAGUGUGAAUUUAUGUGGAGACUAAGCGGACCCAAAAGUAUUCAUUUUGAUUUUAUUGUUAGAACUAUCCGUAGAGAACUAACCACUUCAUUAGCAUGCCCCUGGCACUGGGGCGAAGAGCUGAAGUUUCAUUCUUCCGGACAUCGUGUUACUCACUUAGCCCUCUCAUCAUCGCUAAAUACACUUUCUACUCAACACAACCAGAUCCAAUGCAGUCACCUCGUCUGAGUAACACCUUAUUUUACAGGUAGUCUUCUGCUAAAAUCAAUAGCAUUAGUUAUGGAAUAAAAAGUGCUUAGAGAGAUUAAUAUCAGAAUUUGUCCAAGAAAAUGUCUCAACCAUAGGGGAAGAAUUAAUGCAGCAGUAUUUCCAUUAGUAUUGUGGUCAAUUUGCUGAUUCCACUGACUACUCAGCAUUUGUUCUCUUCCUCUUCUAGACCUGACUUGCCCCAGCAAACACUUCUGGAGUGCCAAACCAGUGAUGGUUGCUACAGUUAUUUUCUCAUCUGCUCCUGUUUCAGAGGUUGGAGGCCUUUGUGUGUAAUCGUCCCUCGCUUUAUUCCUCUUCCAGAGCUAGCAGAGAGGGGUGCCUAAGCAGAUCUGAAAUAAAGCUAAGGUCAGGAGAGAGCCAUUCUCCGAUUCCUGGGAUAGAUGUAAGGGAGGAACUGGAUAAACAGUUAAAUAGCAAUUUGCCAGCUUCAGAAUCAUCAAAGAAUUCUGAUUGUAGUGAAGAGAGCAACCAAGUACAUCUGGCUUUCAGGAGAGUGGAAAGUCUACUUUUAUGCCAAAGCUAGACCAUAAAUGUCUGGCUCUGAUCCCAGCUUUGUUGGCCCAUUAUAAGCACUUUUAUUUGACCUUUUUAUUAAUGUCAGUGUUGUUCCGAGCACACACAUGUCUUAGAUUCUCAAACAGCAAGAAAAUUAAAGAGAUGGUUUUAUAAGAAUUGGAUGCACAGUAGGUAGCACCGUCCUAAAGUACUAGCUUAUCUAGCUAACUAGUUAGAAGAGACAGCUCCGUUUCUGUAUUAACUAUGGAUCUUGUGUCUUAGGUGCCAAACAGACAUGAAAUAAAUGGCCUGUUUAAAAUAAUUGUAAGCAAUCAUAGCAUACAUUGUAAACAGAAAAUCUUGCUUUGUGACUAUUUACGUCUGUAUUAUACUCUUCUUUAAACAGGAAGUUUUGUUGUUUCUCGUACUACUAUAUCUGUUUUGUGUGUCUACAAAAACAAGCCUAUUGUGCUUCUUGGAAACUACUAUACCUAAGAUUCAGUGGUCUAUUGAAUAAAUAUGAAUGCAAAGACAUUUACAAUUGAAGUGCUUACCUCAUAAAAUUAUGAACAUUAAUGUCAGAAAAAGGUUUUCAGCUCUUUUAAGACAGCUUUUAUGUACCUGAAGAGGAAAUGAGCUAGAAAGGUGAAUGUUCAGAUGUAUGUCAGACAAGCAGAUUAAAUCAUUUCGGGAUUUCCUGGCACCUGGGGAGGAGCCAACAUGAAAUGAAUUAUGUAGUGUGCGUGGAUUAAAUGAACAUUGUGACACAUAAAAUACUCUAUUUGUUUAAUUCUUCAUCCAUUGGCCUGAGCCUUCAAUA